CCUACGGGAGGCAGCAGUGGGGAAUAUUGCACAAUGGGGGGAACCCUGAUCCAGCGACGCCGCGUGAGUGAAGAAGUAUUUCUGUAUGUAAAGCUCUAUCAGCAGGGAAGAAAGAAAUGACGGUACCUGACUAAGAAGCCCCGGCUAACUACGUGCCAGCAGCCGCGGUAAUACGUAGGGGGCAAGCGUUAUCCGGAUUUACUGGGUGUAAAGGGGGCGUAGACGGCGAUGCAAGUCUGAAGUGAAAGGCGGGGGCCCAACCCCCGGACUGCUUUGGAAACUGUAUGGCUGGAGUGCAGGAGAGGUAAGUGGAAUUCCUAGUGUAGCGGUGAAAUGCGUAGAUAUUAGGAGGAACACCAGUGGCGAAGGCGGCUUACUGGACUGUAACUGACGUUGAGGCUCGAAAGCGUGGGGAGCAAACAGGAUUAGAUACCCUAGUAGUC
rnacentral:rRNA from 1 species